CGGCAAGCUCACGAGGAGUCGCGUGAAUUCUAGUGCGUGCUUCACGCAACAUUGUCCCUAUCGGUUCUGUCGAAGAGGUUCUCCGUUCAGUUAUUUCUCUUAACGACCAGAUAAAUAGAACCAAGGACUGGUCUCGUUAUUAUUUGCAAUGAUGCGGUUUACUUUUUGGAACUUUGUGGUAUAGAUCCGUAAACAGGAUAUUUUGUUGGAUAUUAUGGAAUACAGUGUGUUCCUGCAUGUGGAAUAAGUUAUUGGUGUGUGUGGCAGUGGUCCAAAGGAGAUGAAAGUUAACUGGGCCACGUCUCCGGGAAACCAACCAAAACAGGACACCAGUAGUAAGUAA
rnacentral:misc_RNA from 1 species